AUAUUGUGAAAUAUUAAAUAUUAGUGAAAGUAAAUGAAAGGUUAUUCAUUAAAUAUUUGGAGAAUAAAAUAAUAAAUAUAGAAUGUAGUUGCUGAAGCCAAAUAUGGAUUUUACAACAUUCAAUUUU